AUUGAACGCUGGCGGCAGGCCUAACACAUGCAAGUCGAACGAGUGGCGGACGGGUGAGUAAUGUCUGGGAAACUGCCUGAUGGCGGGGGAUAACUACUGGAAACGGUACCUAAUACCGCAUACCAUCAGAUGUGCCCAGAUGGGAUUAGCUAGUUGGUGGGGUAACGGCUCACCAAGGCGACGAUCCCUAGCUGGUCUGAGAGGAUGACCAGCAACACUGGAACUGAGACACGGUCCAGACUCCUACGGGAGGCAGCAGUGGGGAAUAUUGCACAAUGGGCGAAAGCCUGAUGCAGCCAUGCCGCGUGUAUGAAGAAGGCCUUCGGGUUGUAAAGUACUGUCAGCGGGGAGGCGUUACCCGAAGAAGAAGCACCGGCUAACUACGUGCCAGCAGCCGCGGUAAUAC
rnacentral:rRNA from 1 species